GUUCACUUAACCAGCAUAUAUUAGAAUUAGAAGGAUACAGAGCAGACUAGCAUGACUCUUGCAUAAGGAUGAAAUACAAAUUCAUGAAGCAUUCAUGUUUUCU